AGAGGAAAACACUUUCAAAUGACAAUUCUGGAGAAGAUGGGCCUGCAGGGGAAAGUCACCCCCUUGCAGGCCAGAAGACAUGAGAUAACUUUAAAGAAUACAAAGGUUGCAAGUAUCCAGGCUCAGGAGAGGGGGUCAGUGGGAAGCCCACUGCUGCUACUUGGCCCUGGUUUGCCCUCAUGGAUGAGGUGAUA